rnacentral:rRNA from 1 species
GGGAGGUUACCGGGAUUAUUGGGCGUAAGCGCGCGCAGGUGGUUUCUUAAGUCUGAUGUGAAAGCCCACGGCUCAACCGUGGAGGGUCAUUGGAAACUGGGAGACUUGAGUGCAGAAGAGGAAAGUGGAAUUCCAUGUGUAGCGGUGAAAUGCGUAGAGAUAUGGAGGAACACCAGUGGCGAAGGUUACUUUCUGGUCUGUAACUGACACUGAGGCGCGAAAGCGUGGGGAGCAAACAGGAUUAGAUACCCUGGUAGUCCACGCCGUAAACGAUGAGUGCUAAGUGUUAGAGGGUUUCCGUCCUUUAUUGCUUU